UCACUUAUAUACAGCAGAAUCAAGAUUUACUAUCAGAAACCGACAAAGUCAGCUCUAUUUGUCAGUUAAUACUUAGCCUGUGCAUGAGGAACAAUCACUAAUCAGCACCAGUGUACUUAGCGAAUUUACAUCAGUUUUCCAUCAGUUUUGUUCUUGUGUAUGUGCUCUUGAAGUAUGAGUUUUCAUCAUGCAAUGAGAAUCGAACAGUUGAGUUUCCUCUUAGUGAGCAGUUUAAAAAAAAAUAAAGUGAAUUGAAAAUUUGCUGGCAUGAAGAAGCAACUAAAACGCAUACAUAGCUUUGCAACAACGUCCAACACAUUUAGCACGCCAUUAUGUGAGGUGAUACCAGCUACCACAAUGGAGGAGGAGGGCGAGCUGCGCAAUGGCGCUGAUGGCUUAGGCUACCUUUUGGUGCGCAUCCACGUACCAGAGCUCAGCGUGCAGAAAUGUCUGCAAUUCCCUCGAGAUCAGCUCGUUUGGGACGUUAAGCAACAAUGUCUAGCCGCCCUGCCCAAGGUAAUU
rnacentral:lncRNA from 1 species